AGCACUAUCACUGGGCUGGAGUAGAAAGUAGAGGGUGGCCAGUUGAGAAAGGUUCGCUAUGUCUG
rnacentral:tRNA from 1 species